rnacentral:rRNA from 1 species
GACGAACGCUGGCGGCGCGCUUAACACAUGCAAGUCGAGCGAAGCGGCGGUCGGGUGAGUAACACGUGAGUAACCUGCCUCACAUAUUGGGAUAGCCUCGGGAAACCGGUAUUAAUACCAAAUGGUCUAAGAAGGACUCGCGUCCCAUUAGCUAGUUGGUGGGUAACGGCCCACCAAGGCGAUGAUGGGUAGCCGGCCUGAGAGUGUGAACGGCCACAUUGGAACUGAGAAACGGUCAAAACUCUACGGGAGGCAGCAGUGGGGAAUAAUGAGCAAUGGAGGGAACUCUGAUGCAGGGACGACGGGUGAACGAAGAAGGCUUUCGAGUAGUAAAGUUCUUUUAAAUAGGAAGCGGUAACAUAAGAAAAAGCCCCGGCUAACUACGUGCCAGCAGCCGCGGUAAUUC